UUGCCUCAGUAACGGCGUAGUGAAGCGGCAAGUAGCUCAAAUUUGAAAGCUGGCUCCUUCGGGGUCCGCAUUGUAAUUUGCAGUGGUGGCUUCGGGUGCGGCCCCUGUCUAAGUGCCCUGGAACGGGCCGUCAGUGAGGGUGAGAAUCCCGUCUGGGAUGGGGUGUCCGCGCCCGUGUGAAGCUCCUUCGACGAGUCGAGUUGUUUGGGAAUGCAGCUCUAAAUGGGUGGUAAAUUUCAUCUAAAGCUAAAUACUGGCCGGAGACCGAUAGCGCACAAGUAGAGUGAUCGAAAGAUGAAAAGCACUUUGAAAAGAGAGUUAAAAAGCACGUGAAAUUGUUGAAAGGGAAGCGCUUGCGACCAGACUCGCCUCCAGGGUUCAGCCGGCAUUCGUGCCGGUGUACUUCCCUGGGGGCGGGCCAGCGUCGGUUUGGGCGGCCGGUCAAAGGCUCCCGGAAUGUAGUGCCCUCCGGGGCACCUUAUAGCCGGGAGUGCAAUGCGGCCAGCCUGGACCGAGGAACGCGCUUCGGCACGGACGCUGGCAUAAUGGUCGUAAACGACCCGUCUUGAAACACGGACCAAGGAGUCUAACAUCUACGCGAGUGUUCGGGUGUCAAACCCGUACGCGCAGUGAAAGCGAACGGAGGUGGGAGCCCCCUCGUGGGGCGCACCAUCGACCGAUCCUGAUGUCUUCGGAUGGAUUUGAGUAAGAGCGUAAAUGUGGGGGACCCGAAAGAUGGUGAACUAUGCCUGAAUAGGGGCGAAGCCAGAGGAAACUCUGGUGGAGGCUCGCAGCGGUUCUGACGUGCAAAUCGAUCGUCAAAUUUGGGUAUAGGGGCGAAAGACUAAUCGAACCAUCUAGUAGCUGGUUCCUGCCGA
rnacentral:rRNA from 1 species